AUUGAACGCUGGCGGCAGGCCUAACACAUGCAAGUCGAACGGUAACAGGAAGCAGCUUGCUGCUUCGCUGACGAGUGGCGGGCGGGUGAGUAAUGUCUGUGAAACUCCCUGAUGGAGUGGGAUAACUACUGGAAACGGUAGCUAAUACCGCAUAACGUCGCAAGACCAAAGAGGGGGACCUUAUGGCCUCUUGCCAUCUGAUGUGCCCAGAUGGGAUUAGCUAGUAGGUGGGGUAACGGCUCACCUAGGCGACGAUCCCUAGCUGGUCUGAGAGGAUGACCAGCCACACUGGAACUGAGACACGGUCCAGACUCCUACGGGAGGCAGCAGUGGGGAAUAUUGCACAAUGGGCGCAAGCCUGAUGCAGCCAUGCCGCGUGUAUGAAGAAGGCCUUCGGGUUGUAAAGUACUUUCAGCGGGGAGGAAGGGAGGAAAGUUAAUACCUUGGCGUAUUGACGGUACCCGCAGAAGAAGCACCGGCUAACUCCGUG
rnacentral:rRNA from 1 species